rnacentral:rRNA from 1 species
GACAGAGGUCCCAAGCGUUAGGCGGAAUCACUGGGCUUAAAGCGUGUGUAGGCGGACUUCUAAGUACCUUGUGAAAUCCCACGGCUCAACCGUGGAACUGCUUGGUAUACUGGUUGUCUUGGGCCAUCUAGGGGCUAGCGGAACAAACGGUGGAGCGGUGAAAUGCGUAGAUAUCGUUUGGAACGCCAAUGGUGAAAACAGCUAGCUGGGGAUGUGCCGACGCUGAGACGCGAAAGCCAGGGGAGCGAACGGG